GAUGAACGCUAGCGGCGUGCCUAACACAUGCAAGUCGAACGGGGUACCCGAAACGGAGACUUCGGUUGAAGUUUUGGACUACCUAGUGGCGGACGGGUGAGUAACGCGUGGGUAACCUGCCUUAUACAGGGGGGAUAACACUUAGAAAUAGGUGCUAAUACCGCAUAAGCGCACAGUUUCGCAUGAAACAGUGUGAAAAACUCCGGUGGUAUAAGAUGGACCCGCGUCUGAUUAGAUAGUUGGUGGGGCAACGGCCUACCAAGUCGACGAUCAGUAGCCGGUCUGAGAGGAUGAACGGCCACAUUGGGACUGAGAUACGGCCCAGACUCCUACGGGAGGCAGCAGUGGGGAAUAUUGGGGCAAUGGGGGAAACCCUGACCCAGCAACGCCGCGUGAAGGAAGAAGGCCUUCGGGUUGUAAACG
rnacentral:rRNA from 1 species